AGAGUUUGAUCAUGGCUCAGAGUGAACGCUGGCGGCAGGCCUAAUACAUGCAAGUCGAACGGCAGCACAGUGGAGCUUGCUCCAUGGGUGGCGAGUGGCGGACGGGUGAGGAAUACAUGGGAAUCUGCCCAGUCGUGGGGGAUAACGUAGGGAAACUUACGCUAAUACCGCAUGCGCCCUUCGGGGGAAAGCCGGGGACCGUAAAGGCCUGGCGCGAUUGGAUGAGCCCAUGUCGGAUUAGCUAGUUGGCGGGGUAAAGGCCCACCAAGGCGACGAUCCGUAGCUGGUCUGAGAGGAUGAUCAGCCACACUGGAACUGAGACACGGUCCAGACUCCUACGGGAGGCAGCAGUAGGGAAUAUUGGACAAUGGGCGCAAGCCUGAUCCAGCCAUGCCGCGUGAGUGAAGAAGGCCCUCGGGUUGUAAAGCUCUUUUGUCCGGAAAGAAAAGCGCCGGGUUAAUACCCUGGUGUCCUGACGGUACCGGAAGAAUAAGCACCGGCUAACUUCGUG
rnacentral:rRNA from 1 species